rnacentral:rRNA from 1 species
UGAGGAAUAUUGGUCAAUGGGCGCAAGCCUGAACCAGCCAAGUCGCGUGAGGGAAGACGGCCCUACGGGUUGUAAACCUCUUUUGCCGGGGAGCAAGCCUGAGCACGUGUGCCCAGGCGGAGAGUACCCGGAGAAAAAGCAUCGGCUAACUCCGUGCC